rnacentral:rRNA from 1 species
AGUCGAACGGAAAGGCCCUUCGGGGUACUCGAGUGGCGAACGGGUGAGUAACACGUGGGCAAUCUGCCCUGCACACCGGGAUAAGCCUGGGAAACUGGGUCUAAUACCGGAUAGGACCACUUGGCGCAUGCCUUGUGGUGGAAAGCUUUUGCGGUGUGGGAUGGGCCCGCG